CUGGUUGAUCCUGCCAGUAGCAUAUGCUUGUCUCAAAGAUUAAGCCAUGCAUGUCUAAGUACAAGCCGCUAGACGGCGAAACCGCGAAUGGCUCAAUAAAUCAGUUAUGGUUCCUUAGAUCCACUCCAUCCUACUUGGAUAACUGUGGGAAUUCUAGAGCUAAUACAUGCACUCGAG
rnacentral:rRNA from 1 species